GCAGUGGUGAUUCAAUGGUAGAAUUCUCACCUUCCAUGCAGAACACCUGGAUUCAAAUCCCAGCCAACGUA
rnacentral:tRNA from 1 species